GGAGACCGGCGCACGGGUGCGUAACGCGUAUGCAAUCUACCCUUUUUGCAGAGGGAUAGCCCAGUGAAAUUUGGAUUAAUACCUCAUAGUAUAGUACUUUGGCAUCAAGGAACUAUUAAAGUCACAACGGCAAAAGAUGAGCAUGCGUCCCAUUAGCUAGUUGGUAAGGUAACGGCUUACCAAGGCUACGAUGGGUAGGGGUCCUGAGAGGGAGAUCCCCCACACUGGUACUGAGACACGGACCAGACUCCUACGGGAGGCAGCAGUGAGGAAUAUUGGACAAUGGGCGCAAGCCUGAUCCAGCCAUGCCGCGUGCAGGAUGACGGUCCUAUGGAUUGUAAACUGCUUUUAUACAGGAAGAAACACUCCGACGUGUCGGAGCUUGACGGUACUGUAAGAAUAAGGAUCGGCUAACUCCGUG
rnacentral:rRNA from 1 species